rnacentral:rRNA from 1 species
UAUUGGUCAAUAGCCUAACGGCUGAACCAGCAACUUGGAGGAAUGUAUAGGGAAAACUGGUAAAAUGUGAUGUACCUAGUAGUAUUAGUAAUAAAUAUAAGAUUAACUAAGUUAAUUAAAAUUCUAAGUAGAUAUAUGAUUAUGACAAUAUCUGCAUAGGUCUUGACCAAGUCACGUGCCAGCAGUCGCGGUAAUACGUGGAAGACAAGUGUUAUUCAUAUUUAUUGGGUUUAAAGGGUACCUAGACAGUUAAUUAAGCAAUUAAUUGUACUGAUUAACUAGAGUUUAAUGUAAGAAGGAUUGAGUACGGUGAGAGUAGAGAUAAAAUUCUUUGAUACCGUUUAGGCACUGGCAAGAGCGAAGGCUACCUUCAAUGUAAAAAACUGACGUUGAAGGACGAAGG